AGGUGGAGGCUUCGGAGGCGGUGGAGGACUGGGAGGUGGAGGAGGCUUUGGCGGCGGUUUCGGAGGAUAAAACCUGAGGAAACCACGAAAAGCCGAUCGUCAACGCAUCACGUGACCAACCGAUUUCCGUCUCUCGGCCAAUCCCUUUGGAGGCGUCAUUGCAGAUUAAAGACUUUGAAAAAUC